CCUACGGGGAGCAGCAGUGGGGAAUAUUGGGCAAUGGGCGCAAGCCUGACCCAGCAACGCCGCGUGAAGGAAGAAGGCUUUCGGGUUGUAAACUUCUUUUCUCAGGGACGAAGCAAGUGACGGUACCUGAGGAAUAAGCCACGGCUAACUACGUGCCAGCAGCCGCGGUAAGACGUAGGUGGCAAGCGUUAUCCGGAUUUACUGGGAGUAAAGGGCGUGUAGGCGGGACUGCAAGUCAGAUGUGAAAACCACGGGCUCAACCUGUGGCCUGCAUUUGAAACGGUAGUUCUUGAGUACUGGAGAGGCAGACGGAAUUCCUAGUGUAGCGGUGAAAUGCGUAGAUAUUAGGAGGAACACCAGUGGCGAAGGCGGUCUGCUGGACAGCAACUGACGCUGAUGCUCGAAAGCGCGGGUAUCGAACAGGAUUAGAUACCCUAGUAGUC
rnacentral:rRNA from 1 species